rnacentral:rRNA from 1 species
GUAGGGAAUAUUGGGCAAUGGAGGCAACUCUGACCCAGCCAUGCCGCGUGCAGGAAGACGGUCCUCUGGAUUGUAAACUGCUUUUGAAUGGGAAGAACACUACCCUUGCGAGGGUAUUUGACGGUACUAUUAGAAUAAGCACCGGCUAACUCCGUGCCAGCAGCCGCGGUAAUACGGAGGAUCCAAGCGUUAUCCGGAAUCAUUGGGUUUAAAGGGUCCGUAGGCGGAUUAGUAAGUCAGCGGUGAAAGUUUGCAGCUUAACUGUAAAAUUGCCAUUGAUACUGCUAGUCUUGAAUGGUUGUGAAGUAGCUAGAAUAUGUAGUGUAGCGGUGAAAUGCUUAGAUAUUACAUGGAAUACCAAUUGCGAAGGCAGGUUACUAACAAAUGAUUGACGCUGAUGGACGAAAGCGUGGGUAGCGAACAGGAUUAGAAACCCUAGUAGUCC